UGGGGAAUUUUGGACAAUGGGGGAAACCCUGAUCCAGCCAUCCCGCGUGUGCGAUGAAGGCCUUCGGGUUGUAAAGCACUUUUGGCAGGAAAGAAACGUCGCGGGUUAAUACCCCGCGAAACUGACGGUACCUGCAGAAUAAGCACCGGCUAACUACGUGCCAGCAGCCGCGGUAAUACGUAGGGUGCAAGCGUUAAUCGGAAUUACUGGGCGUAAAGCGUGCGCAGGCGGUUCGGAAAGAAAGAUGUGAAAUCCCAGAGCUUAACUUUGGAACUGCAUUUUUAACUACCGGGCUAGAGUGUGUCAGAGGGAGGUGGAAUUCCGCGUGUAGCAGUGAAAUGCGUAGAUAUGCGGAGGAACACCGAUGGCGAAGGCAGCCUCCUGGGAUAACACUGACGCUCAUGCACGAAAGCGUGGGGAGCAAACAGGAUUAGAUACCCUGGUAGUCCACGCCCUAAACGAUGUCAACUAGCUGUUGGGGCCUUCGGGCCUUGGUAGCGCAGCUAACGCGUGAAGUUGACCGCCUGGGGAGUNCGUCGCAAGAUUAAAACUCAAAUGAA
rnacentral:rRNA from 1 species